CUAAUACAUGCAAGUAGAACGCUGAAGGAGGAGCUUGCUUCUCUGGAUGAGUUGCGAACGGGUGAGUAACGCGUAGGUAACCUGCCUAGUAGCGGGGGAUAACUAUUGGAAACGAUAGCUAAUACCGCAUAACAGUAGAUGUUGCAUGACAUUUGCUUAAAAGGUGCAAUUGCAUCACUACCAGAUGGACCUGCGUUGUAUUAGCUAGUUGGUGGGGUAACGGCUCACCAAGGCGACGAUACAUAGCCGACCUGAGAGGGUGAUCGGCCACACUGGGACUGAGACACGGCCCAGACUCCUACGGGAGGCAGCAGUAGGGAAUCUUCGGCAAUGGACGGAAGUCUGACCGAGCAACGCCGCGUGAGUGAAGAAGGUUUUCGGAUCGUAAAGCUCUGUUGUAAGAGAAGAACGGGUGUGAGAGUGGAAAGUUCACACUGUGACGGUAUCUUACCAGAAAGGGACGGCUAACUACGUGCCAGCAGCCGCGGU
rnacentral:rRNA from 1 species